GUUUUAUCUGACUGAUUAACUUGUUCUUGUGACUUAAUCAACUCAGUAUGAACAGA
ensembl:miRNA